GAUGAACGCUGGCGGCGUGCCUAAUACAUGCAAGUCGAACGAGGUGCUUUUGUAGCAAUACGAGAGUAUCCUAGUGGCGAACGGGUGAGUAACGCGUUGGUGACCUACCCCAAAGUGUGGAAUAACAGUCCGAAAGGAUUGCUAAUACCGCAUGUGGUUAUCGGGUUUAGAAACUGAUAACUAAAGGAGCAAUUCGCUUUGGGAGGGACCUGCGUCCCAUCAGCUAGUUGGUGAGGUAAUGGCUCACCAAGGCUACGACGGGUAGGGGACCUGAGAGGGUGACCCCCCACAAUGGAACUGAAACACGGUCCAUACACCUACGGGUGGCAGCAGUAGGGAAUAUUGCACAAUGGGCGAAAGCCUGAUGCAGCAACGCCGCGUGCACGAUGAAGGCCUUCGGGUCGUAAAGUGCUUUUCUGGGAGAUGAGAAAGGACAGUAUCCCAGGAAUAAGCCUCGGCUAACUACGUG
rnacentral:rRNA from 1 species